GUCGGGGAAACCGACGCCGCCCGCGCCGCCGAAGGAGAGCAGGCCGGAGUGGCUCGGCGAAGAGCGCAUCGAGGAGGGGCAGCUCGCCGCGCACCGCUUAGAACGAGUUGGAGUGUGUGUACUUGGCGCCCACCUCCGCAGCCUGGGUAGGAGCAGAGCAUGUGCAGGUUUAAUUAAUUAAGGAAAUAAAUCAGGAAUGAUUAACUGAUGAUCGACCAACAAUUAAGGGGUCGGUUGAUCGGCAACCUUGUAACUUACCUUGUGUAAUUUGACCGUGUGUUUGGUUUAUGUUACACUUAUAAUAAGAUUUUAUUUUUAAUAUAUCAGCCUUACAUGCUAAUCACGCAAUGAAGUGUGACAAACUUAUCAUAUAUUAGUGGGAGUGUGGAUUAAUUUUUAUUAGCCAGAGGUAUUAU
rnacentral:lncRNA from 1 species